UUCAGUUUGUUGAAGGUCCAUUGGGGCUCUCUUGCUCAACAGAUUUUACCAAGGAAGAUCCUGAAUUAAAUUUGGAAGCGGAUGGAACUGAGAAUAUAGUGGCAACCUCAACAAGAUAUGAAUCCAAUAGUAGAAGGCUGAUUCAAAAUAAUAGCGAGAGUUGUGGCAUUUCAUUUGAAGAAACUGUAAAUCAAGAAGUGGUGUACAAUGAGCUGG